UCAGCCCUCAAGCCCUCGGCUUGGUUUUGGACUCUUUGGCCCGGGUGUCUGACACCCUCAGGGCCGGUCCCAAAGGCAAUGGCGGGCACGGUUCACCCCCCGGUACAAUGAGCUUUUUCAAAGCACGUAUCGCGGCGGGCGGCCGGGCCCCGGUCUUACCACUAUUUUAUCAA
rnacentral:misc_RNA from 1 species